ACAGCAUGGUGUGAGCAUUUACGAAUGAGGUCCUUAAGUCUCUUCCAUAUUUCAUGAAAUAAAUCUCCAUCCAUUUGGGAAAAAUUAGUAAUGGCUUUUCUAAUUU